rnacentral:ncRNA from 1 species
AUUGUCAGAACAUGUCGUAGUACAGGAAUUGAAAUGCCAGACAGCCCAAAAUUUUACGUACAAGCGCGAAAAAAUGAUACGGUUUCCCUUGAACGAGGAAUUCCCAGUAAGCGUGAGUCAUUAGCUCGCGUUGAUUACGUCCCUGCCCUUUGUACACACCGCCCGUCGCUACUACCGAUUGGAUGAUUUAGUGAGGUGUUUUGACUGGUGCCAGUAGUCGGAUGUAUUCGCCUUCGCGCCGGGAAAUUUCCCAAACCAAAUCAUCUAGAGGAAGUAAAAGUCGUAACAAGGUUUCCGUAGGUGAACCUGCGGAAGGAUCAU